rnacentral:rRNA from 1 species
UAAAAUAAUUAAGGGCACACAAAGGAUGCCUAGGUAGUAAGAGCCGAUGAAGGACGUGGUAAGCUGCGAUAAGCCUAGAUAAGUUGCAAUCGAACGUAAGAGUCUAGGAUUUCCGAAUGGAGCAAUCUAUUAAGAUGGAGUCUUAAUACGAAAGAGGGAACCGCGUGAACUGAAACAUCUAAGUAACGCGAGGAAAAGAAAGUAAAAACGAUACCCAAAGUAGCGGCGAGCGAAAUGGGUCAAGCCUAAACCUUAAAUAUGUCAAGGAUACAGCCGUUGUAUUUAGGGGGUUGAGGGACAGAGUAGUGAAGAACUGUAAGAUAUUCAAUAUAGUGUAUUGAUGAAUUGGAAUUGUCUGGAAAGGCGAACCGUAGAAGGUGAAAGUCCUGUACAAGUAAAUCCUUACACAUAUAACUCUGCUCCCAAGUAACAUGGAACACGAGGAAUUCUGUGUGAAUCUGUGAGGACCAUAUCUCAUAAGGCUAAAUACUCUUACUAACCGAUAGCGCAUAGUACCGUGAGGGAAAGGUGAAAAGAACCCCUGGAGGGGAGUGAAAUAGAACCUGAAAUUGUGUGCUUACAAGCGGUCAGAGCCAGCAAUGGUGAUGGCGUGCCUUUUGGAGAAUGAUCCUGCGAGUUACGUUAAACGGCGAGGUUAAGUAUAACGGAGCCGAAGGGAAACCAAGUCUUAAUAGGGCGAUUUAGUCGUUUGGCGUAGACGCGAAACCUGGUGAUCUAAACCUGUCCAGGAUGAAGCUGUGGUAAGACACAGUGGAGGUCCUAACCCACCGCCGUUGAAAAGUUGGGGGAUGAGGUAGGUUUAGGGGUGAAAAGCCAAUCGAACCAGGAGAUAGCUCGUUCUCUCCGAAAUGCAUCUAGGUGCAGCCUUGAGUGUUCAAUUAUGGGGGUAGAGCACUGAAUGAUCUAGGGGGCAUAUUGCUUACUGAAAUCAAUCAAACUCCGAAUACCAUAAUUUAUAGCUCAGGAGUGAGACUAUGGGAGUUAACUUCCAUUGUCGAAAGGGAAACAACCCAGACCACCAGCUAAGGUCCCUAAUUAUAACUAAGUGGGAAAGGAGGUGGAGAUUCACAAACAACUAGGAGGUUGGCUUAGAAGCAGCCAUACCUUUAAAGAGUGCGUAAUAGCUCACUAGUCGAGAGUCUCUGCGCCGACAAUGUAACGGGGCUAAGUUAUAAACCGAAGCUGUGGAAUCCGUAAGGAUUGGUAGGAGAGCGUUCUGUAGGCCGUUGAAGGAGAAGGGUAACCGACUUUGGAGGUAUCAGAAGUGAGAAUGCAGGAAUAAGUAGCGAGAAAGGGGGCGAGAAUCCCCCUCGCCGGAAGACCAAGGUUUUCAGGGUAAAGCUUGUCUUCCCUGAGUAAGCCGGGACCUAAGCCCAGGCUAUAAUGCGUAGGCGAAUGGAAAACAGAUUAAUAUUUCUGUGCCAGUCAUAUAUUGUGAUGGAGGGACGCAGAAGGGUAUGCGCGCGGACGAACGGAAGUGUCCGUAGAAGUAUGUAGGAUGACUUAGUAGGAAAAUCCAUUAAGUUAUAUCUGAGGUAUGAUAUAUAGUCGUAAGAUGAAUGCGCAAAUCCCACGCUGCCAAGAAAAGCUUCUAACGUUAAUAUUUGACUGCCCGUACUGCAAACCGACACAGGUGGUCAGGAUGAGAAAUCUAAGGCGGACAGGCUAACUCUCGUUAAGGAACUCUGCAAAAUAACCUCGUAACUUCGGGAGAAGAGGAGCCCUUGAGGGUCAGUAUCCACGCGAUACAAAGCGCUCGAGGGUCGCAGUGAAGAGGCUCAAGCAACUGUUUAACAAAAACACAGGUCUAUGCUAAGCUGGAAGGCGAUGUAUAUGGGCUGACACCUGCCCAGUGCUGGAAGGUUAAGAGGAGGAGUGAGAGCUCCGAAUUGAAGCCCCAGUGAACGGCGGCCGUAACUAUAACGGUCCUAAGGUAGCGAAAUUCCUUGUCGGGUAAGUUCCGACCUGCACGAAUGGUGUAA